GACGAACGCUGGCGGCGUGCCUAAUACAUGCAAGUAGAACGCUGAAGGAGGAGCUUGCUUCUCUGGAUGAGUUGCGAACGGGUGAGUAACGCGUAGGUAACCUGCCUGGUAGCGGGGGAUAACUAUUGGAAACGAUAGCUAAUACCGCAUAAGAUUGACUAUUGCAUGAUAGUCAGUUAAAAGGUGCAAUUGCAUCACUACCAGAUGGACCUGCGUUGUAUUAGCUAGUUGGUGGGGUAACGGCUCACCAAGGCGACGAUACAUAGCCGACCUGAGAGGGUGAUCGGCCACACUGGACUGAGACACGGCCCAGACUCCUACGGGAGGCAGCAGUAGGGAAUCUUCGGCAAUGGACGGAAGUCUGACCGAGCAACGCCGCGUGAGUGAAGAAGGUUUUCGGAUCGUAAAGCUCUGUUGUAAGAGAAGAACGAGUGUGAGAGUGGAAAGUUCACACUGUGACGGUAUCUUACCAGAAAGGGACGGCUAACUACGUG
rnacentral:rRNA from 1 species